rnacentral:ncRNA from 2 species
AUGAUACAAGGGUCAAAAGGUCAUGCGUUUCAUGCUUGCAUGAAAAAGCAUGACUUAUUGACCCGCAAAACACCGAANAGUAGCCAUUUUUCGUAGAAAAAUGAGCGGAUUUGAGGUGUUUUUAGGAUUGCGAGGGCAUGAAAUGCGAAGCAAUCCCGUGUAUCAU